AAGUGAUGUAAGCUACAGACAGGAAGUGAUCUUAAGUAGAAAAAGGAAGUGAUGUAAGCUACAGACAGGAAGUUCCGGGUGAGCAAACAGUUGGAGACCUUGCUGGAACUGGCAACAGAAGAGGAUUAUACAGUAGUGAAGAAAAUAUCUGGUGAUCCAUUCACACCCAACAUCUAUCUUCACGGGACAUCACCCAGGGCCAUCACGGUGCCUCUUUGUAGGUCAUGAUGGAGAAUCAGCCGCCCCUCACAUCACCGGAUGGAUCCAGUAAUGGGAACCCACCAGAGAGAUGUUCCC